rnacentral:snRNA from 1 species
AGCUUUGUGCAGUGGCAGUAUCAUGGCCAAUGAGGUUUAUCCAAGGCACGAUUAUUGCUAAUUGAAAAUUUGUUGUCUUUAUUUUCUCUAUAACAGUUCUAACCAGUUCAAUAAAAAAUUAUGUGGAGC